rnacentral:rRNA from 1 species
GUGCCAGCCGCCGCGGUAAUACGGGGGGGGCAAGCGUUGUUCGGAAUUACUGGGCGUAAAGGGCUCGUAGGCGGCCAACUAAGUCAGACGUGAAAUCCCUCGGCUUAACCGAGGAACUGCGUCUGAUACUGGAUGGCUUGAAUCCGGGAGAGGGAUGCGGAAUUCCAGGUGUAGCGGUGAAAUGCGUAGAUAUCUGGAGGAACACCGGUGGCGAAGGCGACAUCCUGGACCGGAAUUGACGCUGAGUGAGCGAAAGCCAGGGGAGCAAACGGGAUUAGAAACCCGUGUAGUCC